GGCUUUCCCCAUACGUAAAUCUUCGGAUCAAAGGGUGCUCGCGCCUCCCCGAAGCUUAUCGCAGCGUGCCACGUCCUUCAUCGCCUCUCGACGCCAAGGCAUCCGUCAGAAGCCCUUAUGCGCUUGAUCGUUCUCAGCAAAACUCAUGCGUGGGGACGGUUGCCGCCCGAGGUACGAAACCCGGACAGCGCCCACACAUGCGCUUUGUCUUUGCCAGACAAUGACCCCUUCACAAGGUCACCCCUGCCAACGCCAUACGGCGCCGGAGCAACCCUGGAGUUCACGAUGUCAGAAAGCGCGGC
rnacentral:misc_RNA from 1 species